AACGAACGCUGGCGGCAUGCCUAACACAUGCAAGUCGAACGGGAUCCAGGCUUCGGCCUGGUGAGAGUGGCGGACGGGUGAGUAACACGUGGGAACCUGCCUUUUGGUUCGGGAUAACCGCGGGAAACUGCGGCUAAUACCGGAUGCUCCCGAGAGGGGAAAGAUUUAUCGCCAGAAGAGGGGCCCGCGUCCGAUUAGGUAGUUGGUGAGGUAAUGGCUCACCAAGCCGACGAUCGGUAGCUGGUCUGAGAGGAUGAUCAGCCACACUGGGACUGAGAUACGGCCCAGACUCCUACGGGAGGCAGCAGUGGGGAAUAUUGGACAAUGGGGCAACCCUGAUCCAGCAAUGCCGCGUGGGUGAUGAAGGCCUUAGGGUUGUAAAGCUCUUUUGCCAGGGAAGAUGAUGACUGUACCUGGAGAAUAAGCCCCGGCUAACUUCGUGCCAGCAGCCGCGGUAAU
rnacentral:rRNA from 1 species